GACGAACGCUGGCGGCGUGCCUAAUACAUGCAAGUAGAACGCUGAAGAGAGGAGCUUGCUCUUCUUGGAUGAGUUGCGAACGGGUGAGUAACGCGUAGGUAACCUGCCUUGUAGCGGGGGAUAACUAUUGGAAACGAUAGCUAAUACCGCAUAACAAUGGAUGACACAUGUCCUUUAUUUGAAAGGGGCAAUUGCUCCACUACAAGAUGGACCUGCGUUGUAUUAGCUAGUAGGUGAGGUAAUGGCUCACCUAGGCGACGAUACAUAGCCGACCUGAGAGGGUGAUCGGCCAAACUGGGACGGGGAAAAGGCCCAGACUCCUACGGGAGGCAGCAGUAGGGAAACGUCGGGAAUGGGGGCAACCCUGACCGAGCAACGCCGCGUGAGGGAAGAAGGUUUUCGGAUCGGAAAGCUCUGUUGUAAGUCAAGAACGGAAGGGAGAGUGGAAAGUUCACACUGUGACGGUAGCUUACCAGAAAGGGACGGCUAACUACGUG
rnacentral:rRNA from 1 species